rnacentral:rRNA from 1 species
CCUACGGGCGGCAGCAGUGAGGAAUAUUGGUCAAUGGGCGCGAGCCUGAACCAGCCAAGCAGCGUGAAUGAUGACUGCCCUACGGGUUGUAAACUUCUUUUAUAAAGGAAUAAAGUGAGGCACGUGUGCCUUUUUGUAUGUACUUUAUGAAUAAGGAUCGGCUAACUCCGUGCCAGCAGCCGCGGUAAUACGGGGGAUCCGAGCGUUAUCCGGAUUGAUUGGGUUUAAAGGGAGCGUAGAUGGGUUGUUAAGUCAGUUGUGAAAGUUUGGGGCUCAACCGUAAAAUUGCAUUUGAUACUGGCAGUCUUGAGUACAGUUGAGGUAGGCGGAAUUCGUGGUGUAGCGGUGAAAUGCUUAGAUAUCACGAAGAACUCCGAUGGCGAAGGCAGCUUACUAAGCUGCCACUGACAUUGAUGCUCGAAAGUGUGGGGAUCAAACAGGAUUAGAUACCCUUGUAGUC